rnacentral:rRNA from 1 species
UACGUCGGUGGCAAGCGUUGUCCGGAAUUACUGGGUGUAAAGAGCGUGUAGGCGGGACUGCAAGUCAGAUGUGAAAUUCCCAGGCUCAACCUGGGGGCUGCAUCUGAAACUGUGGUUCUUGAGUGCUGGAGAGGAAAGCGGAAUUCCUAGUGUAGCGGUGAAAUGCGUAGAUAUUAGGAGGAACACCAGUGGCGAAGGCGGCUUUCUGGACAGUAACUGACGCUGAGGCGAGAAAGCGUGGGGAGCAAACAGG